UGCAGUCGAACGAUGAAGCCCUUCGGGGUGGAUUAGUGGCGAACGGGUGAGUAACACGUGGGCAAUCUGCCCUUCACUCUGGGACAAGCCCUGGAAACGGGGUCUAAUACCGGAUAACACUCUGUCCCGCAUGGGACGGGGUUAAAAGCUCCGGCGGUGAAGGAUGAGCCCGCGGCCUAUCAGCUUGUUGGUGGGGUAAUGGCCUACCAAGGCGACGACGGGUAGCCGGCCUGAGAGGGCGACCGGCCACACUGGGACUGAGACACGGCCCAGACUCCUACGGGAGGCAGCAGUGGGGAAUAUUGCACAAUGGGCGAAAGCCUGAUGCAGCGACGCCGCGUGAGGGAUGACGGCCUUCGGGUUGUAAACCUCUUUCAGCAGGGAAGAAGCGAAAGUGACGGUACCUGCAGAAGAAGCGCCGGCUAACUACGUGCCAGCAGCCGCGGUAAUACGUAGGGCGCAAGCGUUGUCCGGAAUUAUUGGGCGUAAAGAGCUCGUAGGCGGCUUGUCACGUCGGAUGUGAAAGCCCGGGGCUUAACCCCGGGUCUGCAUUCGAUACGGGCUAGCUAGAGUGUGGUAGGGGAGAUCGGAAUUCCUGGUGUAGCGGUGAAAUGCGCAGAUAUCAGGAGGAACACCGGUGGCGAAGGCGGAUCUCUGGGCCAUUACUGACGCUGAGGAGCGAAAGCGUGGGGAGCGAACAGGAUUAGAUACCCUGGUAGUCCACGCCGUAAACGUUGGGAACUAGGUGUUGGCGACAUUCCACGUCGUCGGUGCCGCAGCUAACGCAUUAAGUUCCCCGCCUGGGGAGUACGGCCGCAAGGCUAAAACUCAAAGGGAAUUGACGGGGGCCCGCACAAGCAGCGGAGCAUGUGGCUUAAUUCGACGCAACGCGAAGAACCUUACCAAGGCUUGACAUAUACCGGAAAGCAUCAGAGAUGGUG
rnacentral:rRNA from 2 species